GACGAACGCUGGCGGCGUGCUUAACACAUGCAAGUCGAACGAAGUGGCGAACGGGUGAGUAACGCGUAAUCAACCUGCCCUUCAGAGGGGGACAACAGUUGGAAACGACUGCUAAUACCGCAUACUGAAGGAGGGGAUUGCGUCUGAUUAGCAAGUUGGAGGGGUAACGGCCCACCAAGUCGAUGAUCAGUAGACUGUCUGGUAGGAUGAACUGCCACAUGGGGACUGUGAUGUGGCCCAGACGCCUACGGGCGGUAGCAGUGGGGAAUCUGCCGCAAUGGACGAAAGUCUGACGGAGCAACGCCGCGUGAGUGAUGACGGCCUUCGGGUUGUAAAGCUCUGUUAAUCGGGACGCGGUACCUGAAUAGAAAGCCACGGCUAACUACGUGCCAGCCCCCGCGGUAAUAC
rnacentral:rRNA from 1 species